AUGGCGGCCCCCACGGCGGACGCGGGCGUGUAGUGCCCCCCGCCGGAGUCGUCCGGCACCGACGCCGAGAUCGGCGUCGCGUUCAGCGGCCGCAGCAGGCCACCGUCCGGCCCGUACUUCCUCGGCCGCCCCCUCUUCCGCUUCCCGUCCCCUCUCGCUGCUGCCACCACCGCCGCCGCCGGCGCAGGAGGAGGAGGAGAAGGAGCAGGAGCCGGCGGCGUCGGCUCCUUCUUGGUCUCUGGCGCAGGCUGCGUCGGCCCCUUCUUGGUCUCUGGCGCAGGCUGCGCGGCCGCGGGCGGCGCCGGCUCCUUCUUGGUCUCUGGCACCGGCGGUGAGGUCUCCAUCGCUGUCUCCAUGCCAAGCGCUACUUUCCUCCUCGCCGGGACGCCUCGACCAUCAGACAGAGACCACUCUCCGGUUCUCCACACGAGCACCACGAUCAAAGCAGCGGCGGGAGGAGAAGCAAACUCGAACCAAAAGCCCCAACUCCGACGUCCAAACCUGAGUUCCAGAAACCAACCGGUGUACUUCUCCGGCGAUCCGGCCGGCCGGCGAGGCACUCAAGAGCAGGAGAGAGACAGGGGAUAG
rnacentral:rRNA from 1 species